AGACGAUAUUGUGGAAACAACACAAUCCGACGGGGAGGAAAAAAUACCAAUACACCAGGAAGAAAGCUGGACUGUGGCAACCUCCAGCAAAAAACGGAAGCGCACUGCCGGAAGAGGCAGCAACGGACUCAACGGAAAGUCCGACAAACCGCAUUCCCAAACCAUCACCGAUAUACAUAGAUGCGAAAAUAAUCGACCCCCUCAUCGAACUCCUAAACAACACUGCAGGGAAAGACAACUAUGUUACCAAGCAGAUGAAACCAGACCAGGUGAAAGUGCAAACCAACACCCCAGAAAUAUUCAGAAAAGUGACAAGAUCACUAAAGGAAAAAAACGCAGCGUAUCACACUUUUCAGCUCAAAACUGACAAAAGCUACAAAGCAGUAAUCAGGGGACUACACCCAAAAACAAAUACCGGAAAAAUAAGUGAAGAACUGGCAAAAAUCGGACACCAG
rnacentral:misc_RNA from 1 species